UGAGGAAUAUUGGUCAAUGGGGGCAACCCUGAACCAGCCAAGUCGCGUGAAGGAUGAAGGUCUUAUGGAUUGUAAACUUCUUUUACACGUGAAUAAAGUGGGGGACGUGUCCCCCUUUGCAUGUACCGUGUGAAUAAGGAUCGGCUAACUCCGUGCCAGCAGCCGCGGUAAUACGGAGGAUCCGAGCGUUAUCCGGAUUUAUUGGGUUUAAAGGGUGCGCAGGCGGGAUGUUAAGUCGGCGGUGAAAUUUUGCAGCUCAACUGUAAAAGUGCCUUCGAUACUGGCCUCCUUGAGUGUGGAUGAAGUAGGCGGAAUUUGUGGUGUAGCGGUGAAAUGCUUAGAUAUCACGAGGAACUCCGAUUGCGCAGGCAGCUUACUAAGCCACAACUGACGCUCAUGCACGAAGGCGUGGGGAUCAAACA
rnacentral:rRNA from 1 species